CUUCUUUAUUAAAACAAACAAACAAAAACCCUAUACAUAGAUUCUUCCUUAAGAUCAUCCUGCAAUUUCUAUUGUUUGUUUUUUUGGUUAUUUUUUUGGUGAGGAAGAUUAGCCCUGAGCUGAAGUCUGUGUCAAUCCUCCUCUACUUUGCAUGUGGGAUGCCUUUACAGCACGACGACGAGUGGAGAAGGCCUGCACCGGAAUCCGAACCCGCAAACCUGGGCUGCCCAAGUGGAGCGUGUGCAACCCUAGCCACUGGGCCACAGGACCGGCCCCUUGUUUGUUUUUUAAUCCCAUUGUUGUGUGCUUGGGAUCACACUGCAUUCUAGAUUUCUAUGACAGGAAGGGAGAUCAACAGUUCCACAAAAGUCAGCCCCAACUUCGCUGGUCAAGUCCUCCGUGUCCUUGGGCUGACAUCCUGGCCGCUUCUGUGGGGCUGGGUGAAGAAGCCUCUCACACGUUUCAUGGCUUUUUGGAUUGACACCUUCCCUCUAUUUGCUGGCCUCGUUGCCAUGGAGAAAGUUUGGUUUGCUCGUUUCUUUUUCUGUCUGCUACUCUCCUGAAGAUCCUGGCUUAGAAGAAAGGGGUGGUGGUACUCGCUGAAGUCCUAGGAAUCCAGAAUUACGUCCAUUACUACAGCUUGUUGCCUAUGAUGAUUGAAAGAAAUACCAAACUUCUCUUCAAGAAUAGGAAAAUAAAGAUGCAACAGUCUUCCAUCCAAGUUCACAAACCCCAGGUGUGUUCGUGAGGGUGUUUCUGGAUGAACUAACACUUGAAUUGGUGACCGAGCAGAGCAGAUGGCCCUCCCCAGUGUGGUGGGCCCC
rnacentral:lncRNA from 1 species